CGCAGAACCUUACCACCUUUUGACAUGCCUGGACCGCCAGAGAGAUCUGGCUUUCUCUUCGGAGACUAGGACACAGGUGCUGCAUGGCUGUCGUCAGCUCGUGUCGUGAGAUGUUGGGUUAAGUCCCGCAACGAGCGCAACCCUCGCCAUUAGUUGCCAUCAUUUAGUUGGGAACUCUAAUGGGACUGCCGGUGCUAAGCCGGAGGAAGGUGGGGAUGACGUCAAGUCCUCAUGGCCCUUACAGGGUGGGCUACACACGUGC
rnacentral:rRNA from 1 species